AUUGAACGCUGGCGGCAUGCUUUACACAUGCAAGUCGAACGGCAGCGCGGGCUUCGGCCUGGCGGCGAGUGGCGAACGGGUGAGUAAUGCAUCGGAACGUGCCCAGUAGUGGGGGAUAGCGCGGCGAAAGCCGGAUUAAUACCGCAUACGACCUGAGGGUGAAAGCGGGGGACCGAAAGGCCUCGCGCCAUUGGAGCGGCCGAUGUCGGAUUAGCUAGUUGGUGGGGGAAAGGCUUACCAAGGUGACGAUCCGUAGCUGGGCUGAAAGGACCACCAGCCAGCCUGGGACUGAGACACGGCCCAGACUCCUACGGGGGGCAGCAGUGGGGAAUUUUGGACGAUGGGGGCGAGCCUGAUCCAGCCAUGCCGCGUGCGGGAAGAAGGCCUUAGGGUUGUAAACCGCUUUUGUUCGGGAAGAAAUCCUAUGGGCUAAUACCCCGGGGGGAUGACGGUACCGGAAGAAUAAGCACCGGCUAACUACGUG
rnacentral:rRNA from 1 species